GACGAACGCUGGCGGCGUGCCUAAUACAUGCAAGUCGAACGAAGCUGUUUUAACAGGUGCUUGCACCGACUUAAACAACUGAGUGGCGAACGGGAGAGUAACACGUGGGUAACCUGCCCCAAAGCGGGGGAUAACAUUUGGAAACAGAUGCUAAUACCGCAUAAUCACAGAAACCACAUGGUUUCUGUGUCAAAGAUGGUUUCGGCUAUCACUUUGGGAUGGACCCGCGGCGUAUUAGCUAGUUGGUAAGGUAAUGGCUUACCAAGGCAAUGAUACGUAGCCGAACUGAGAGGUUGAUCGGCCACAUUGGGACUGAGACACGGCCCAAACUCCUACGGGAGGCAGCAGUAGGGAAUCUUCCACAAUGGACGAAAGUCUGAUGGAGCAACGCCGCGUGAGUGAAGAAGGUUUUCGGAUCGUAAAACUCUGUUGUCAGAGAAGAACGUGUGCGAGAGUAACUGUUCGUGCAGUGACGGUAUCUGGCCAGAAAGCCACGGCUAACUACGUGCCAGCAGCCGCCGUAA
rnacentral:rRNA from 1 species